GGAAAAUGAAUGAUGGGAACAGAUGCAUGGAGACGGGAUGGGAAGAAGUGAGACAAGUUUAGGAAGAACUGAUGAAGUACACCUGCUAAUAACUGAGAAGGAAUAUUGAAUUAAAAUAUCACUGAUCUGGAAACAAUCAACAAAAUAAUGCAUUCAGAGAACGAACAUCAACAGCUGCUAACAUCACAAAGAAGGAACACCAACCAAUACGUGCCUCUGGCAGGAGUACACAGCACCUCCCAUGCAGUAUUUCAAAAUAAAAUCUCAACAGAAUCAGGAUAGCCUGUAGAGGAUAACUACGAUUUUACAGGAAAUGCAGAGGACAGAGAUUCAAACACCACCAUGGGAAUGCAGUCAGAAAAACCCAGAGUGUGGGGAAGGAAACCUACGUGACACACAACCUGAUUUGUUCAAAGAAAAAACUUUUAAGAAUAGAGAACCUUUAGAUCGUCACUGUCUAAUAAGGUACCCUCUUGUCAUACUUGACAUGUGGCUGGUACAAAUUGAGAUGUGCUAUAAAAUAAGCAUACACUGGAUUUUGAAAGCUUAGUUCAAAAAAAAAGCAUGAAAAAUGUAAUAUAAAAAUUUACUGGGGAAAAAAAAAUUUAUUGGGGGACUGCCCUGGUGGCGGGCACAGUGGUUAAGAAUCUGCCUGCCAAUGCAGGGGACACGGGUUCGAGCCCUGGUCCGGGAAGAUCCCACACAUGCCACAGAGCAACUAAGCCUGUGCGCCCAACUACUGAGCCCGCGCUCCUCAACAAGAGAAGCCACCAGGAUGAGAAGCCUGGGCACCACAACGAAGAGUAGCCCCCACUCACCGCAACUAGAGAAAGCCUGCACACAACGAAGACCCAACGUAGCCAAAAAUUUUAAAAAAUAAUAAAUUAAUUACAAAAAUUUA